AGUGAACGCUGGCGGUAGGCCUAACACAUGCAAGUCGAACGGCAGCACAGUAAGAGCUUGCUCUUACGGGUGGCGAGUGGCGGACGGGUGAGGAAUACAUCGGAAUCUACUUUUUCGUGGGGGAUAACGUAGGGAAACUUACGCUAAUACCGCAUACGACCUACGGGUGAAAGCAGGGGAUCUUCGGACCUUGCGCGAUUGAAUGAGCCGAUGUCGGAUUAGCUAGUUGGCGGGGUAAAGGCCCACCAAGGCGACGAUCCGUAGCUGGUCGGAGAGGAUGAUCAGCCACACUGGAACUGAGACACGGUCCAGACUCCUACGGGAGGCAGCAGUGGGGAAUAUUGGACAAUGGGCGCAAGCCUGAUCCAGCCAUACCGCGUGGGUGAAGAAGGCCUUCGGGUUGUAAAGCCCUUUUGUUGGGAAAGAAAAGCGGCAGGUUAAUACCCCGCUGUUCUGACGGUACCCAAAGAAUAGGCACCGGCUAACUUCGUG
rnacentral:rRNA from 1 species